UACGUAGGAUGCUAGCGUUGUCCGGAUUUACUGGGCGUAAAGCGCGCGCAGGCGGCACUGUAAGUAAGGUGUGAAAUCUCCCUGCUCAACGGGGAGGGUGCACUUUAGACUGCAGAGCUAGAGGACGGUAGAGGGGGUGGAAUUGCUGGUGUAGCGGUGAAAUGCGUAGAUAUCGGGAGGAACACCUGUGGCGAAAGCGGCUCACUGGACCACAACUGACGCUGAGGCACGAAAGCGUGGGGAGCAAACAGG
rnacentral:rRNA from 1 species